GUGGGUUGUAGAUUUCAUGUACCAGCUAUUCAGUUGCAGAACCAAAGAAGACUACCCCACCACACAUAUACACACACUGUGCCAGGGGGCUUGGAUAGGAUGAACUGUCCAUCAGGAAAACAUUCUAGUAUGGGAAAUCCUAUAUUGUGACUAGGUGAAAAACAGGGAAAUCUAUGGUUUACAGAAGUCAGAAGAAAAGCUGAGGAAAAGAGACUAAUUUCAUGUGGAAGGAUGAAGGACAGAAAACAGCAAAACACUUCUCAAGAGGUCGGGGAGUGAAGAAGGACUUGGCUCAUCACCAAUAUCUGAAUGUUUGCAUAUGCAUUUAAACCCACAUAUGAUUAUCUGAGGAUUAAUAAAAGUAUGAAGUACGAAAAAUAUAAAAGAAC
ensembl:lncRNA